AGAAACCUUACAAGGCAAGACGGAUUACCCAAUCUCACCAAAGGUCUUUGGUUGUGUUUGCUUCAUUCAUCUUCGACAUGAGAGCAAACUGGAUCCUCGCGUAGUGAAAUGUGUUUUCAUUGGAUACUCUCCCACGCAGAAGGGUUACAAAUGUUAUCAUCCGCCAUUUAGAAAGUAUUAUGUAAGUAUAGAUGUAACAUUUCGCGAGAAUGAACCCUAUUUUUCUUCAUCACAACCAUCUCUUCAGGGGGAAGUUGUUGAAAAUGAAGAGAUGACGCAUUGUUCUGUUAAUCUUUUGAGGGAGAAUUUAGUUCCAACAGAGACUUUGGUUCAAGAGAAGACUAGUGGACGAUUGUUGGAAAAGCCUGAUUUAUAGACAAAUACUAGAAAAGGCAAGUGUAAAUGGGCAAAUUUGCCUGGGCCCACUAGAAACCCAAAUAUACAACAAUAAAUAAAUAUAUAUAUUAAACCCAACAGAUAUUAUAAACAGUCCUAUUUUACAGUCCAGUACCCAAAACUAAAUACAAUGGGCCCGAUGCCCUAAGUACCAUAUACAAACCCAAAACAUAACCCAAGACCCAAUUAAAAUCUAAUAGCUAAAACCUAACCCAAACCCCAGAGGCCCAAACGAUAGCCCAACUACAAGAACAGGCCCAAUAAACCCAUAUCCUUAACAGGUUUCAGAAACCCUAAGUCGUCCCCUUUCCUUUCGCCGCAACAACCCCUGGCCUCCGUACCUCCCAGCGCCAUACGCUCAAUACCCUCUAGUAGCCACGCCUAUGCCUCCGUAUGGCCCCCUGCGCACCUCCGUACGACCUUCACGCACCACCCGUACCCGAGCGCCAGCACACCCACACCUACAAAGAGACAAACAAGCAACAACAGCAAAGGGAAACAAAAAAAGAAAAACAUUGUAUUUUUUAUUUUUCGUAAAUUUUUCCUCUUUCUUUUUUGGCUAUAAAGCCAGAAUUUCAGUCUUUGUAAAGGGUUACGCAACAAAAAAACAAAAUAUCAACGCAUAUUGUAUGAAUACAGAGAUAAUAGAAAGCAAUCGAAAAAACUAAGAAGGUGAUUUCAUUUCCCUUUUGAGCUCUCUGUUCUUCACUUAUUUCAGUGGGCUUUUCUUCAUCGUUUUAUACUAAAAAAAAGAAAGGGAGAAGCGAAGCUUACCUGCGUUUGAUGCCUUCGAACCCUCGCUUGCUUCGCCAUGAUCAAAACCAAGUGGCGAUUCAAGGUUUAUGAGUAAGAUGCGUGAGUCUUUAGGUUCAAUGAAGCCUUGAUUGACUCUCGAAUGAGUCAAAAGGAGAGGCAGGAGAACAGGCCUUCGAAAGACCAGUGAACGGCGAAGGGUGAGGGCACCCUAGUUCUUUUUUUCUUUCUCACCCUUUGAAGAUGGCUGCAGACCCUUUUAGGGUUUCUUUCGGUGGUCAUAAAGGGCUUCCAGACGUCAUCGUUUUAAGCCAAACUACUAGCUCCAAAACGACUGUGUUCAAAGCUAGACCCGACCGACUCGAUUCCUGACCCCGAUGACCUGCGCGUUUUGGCGGUGAGGGUUUAUUUUCAAUGUUGGUCCCUCCCUUUUGCGAUGUAUUCAGAUCAGCUGUAUUCUUGUUUCUUUUUUUUUAAUUUACCUCUGUGAUUUACACCUGUUUGCAAUUGGAUCCGCGCCCAAGCACAUCAUUUUGGGAUCUGGUAUAUUACCAGUUUUAAUCCCUAGCUGUUUUCACGUAUAGAUUAUUAGUCUUUUUACUGCUAUUGUUUUAUUUUUAAAUUGUCCCUGCUAUUUUAGUUUAAUUAUUAUUAAGUUUUCCUUUGUUCCAUCCCCUUUUCUAUUCUUAAUAAACUAUUUUGCCUUUUUUUAAUCACUUUAAUAAUUGUUUCUUCAUCAUUUUAAACGUUUUUUUAUAUUAUUAUCACAUUUUGUAAGUUUAAAUUAUUUUAUACUUAUUUAUAUUAGUACACAUAUUCUAUAUAUAUAUAUUUCUAAAUCUAUACAUUUUAUAUAUACAUUUUCUUUACACAAAAGCAUGUUUUUUUAAUCUAUUGUUUAAUUUUUUAUAAAAUUAAUUUGGCCCUAUGAGUAUUAUCUUUUCUAUGUAAUUUUACUUGUAAUUAUUUUCAAAAGUCAUAUGUACAUAUAUAUAUUGAUAUUAUUACUUUAAUAGGUUUUCCUACUUACAACAUUUUGCUAUAUGAGUUAUCAAGUAUUUUCUUUAUGCAUGUAUAUGGAAGAAUUUUAGAAACCUCAUUUUUUUGUAAUCAUAAAAUUAUUAUUUUUGGAUGUUCCUUUGUAUUACAUUACUUUGUGUUUUAUAUAGUCCCUUAUUUAGACGUUUUGAUAUAAACGCAUGUAUAUACUUUUUAGACUAAGUUAAAGCCUUUUAUUAAUCUAAUGAUUAUUUUCAAAGCUAUCUAUAUGUACAUUUGUUUUAUGAACGUACUUUGUGUAUUAUAUUUUUGCCAUAUAUCUUCAUUACUCCUUUCCAUAUUAGACAUAUUAUUUAAAAUCGUCAUGUAGUUUGUCAACUUUAAAAUAUGUUUGUGUUUAAAAUUUUUUACUUGCAACUUGAUUCAAAUUCUCAUUCUUUAAUAUCCAUUUCAAAAUAUAUACACAUAUCCCUAUUUUUUAAGCUUGUCAACCUAUAUAUGUCUAGCUUAUUGAUCUUAUACCAUUUUGAUUUCUACAUUUCAUUUGCUUCACGCAUAUCUUGUUGUUUUCUUUAUAUUUUAUGGCAUGAAUAUAUAUAAUCAUUGCAUGGUAUUCGUCUUAAUGAUUUGUUAAUUGUUCUUCGUAUGUGAUUGAGAUUUGAUUAUAAUCUUUAGAUUAAUUAUAUUUAAUCGCAUAUUCUGCUAGUGGAUUAAUAUUAUUAUUCAUCAAGCAUCGUACCAUUAUACGUGCCUGUCACCCUAUAUCAAUGUUUCCCACUUAAUUUUUGAAAUGUGGUUUUAUAAAAUUCAAAUUUUCAUGAUUAAUUUCACCUUAUUUCGAAUCGAAUUAAUACGUCUUAAGCUAGCUUUAUAAUCAUUCAUUCAAAAAUUCUUCAAAACGAAGACGAGAUUCGAUGUUUGGUAAUUCGCGGAAUUGUGCCCUAACGUGUUGGGUUGCAAUUUCGCGUUUGCUCGAAAUAAUCGAAUAUCACUUCAAAAUUUCACUCAUGUCUUUUAAAAUUCUUCAAAACGAAGACGAGAUUCGAUAUUUAGCAAUUCGCGGAAUCGUGCCCUAACGUGUUGGGUUGCAAUUUCACGUUUGCUUAAAAUAAUCGAGUAUCCCUUCAAAAUUUCAUUCAUAUCUCCUAAAAAUUAUUUAAAACGAAGGCAAGAUUUGGCAUUUGGCAAUUCGAGAAUCAUGCCCUAUCGUGCUGGGUUGUGAUUUCCCGUUUGCUCAAAACGAUCGAACAUUCCUUUAUAUUCUCACUCAUGUUUAUAAAAAAAAUACUUAAAAACGAAGACGAUGUUCAAUGUUUGGUGAUUUGAGAAUCGUGCCCUAUCGUGCUGGGUUGUGCUUUUUCAUUAGUUCGAAACAAUUGAACAUCCCUUCGGAAUUUCACUCACAUUUUCUAAAAUCUUUCAAAAUGAAGGUGAUGUUCGAUGUUUGGCAAAUUGAGAAUCGAACCCUAUCGUGUUGGGUUGCGCUUUUUCAUUUGUCCAAAAUAAUCGAAUAUUUCCUCAGAAUUUCACAUGUAUCUUAUAAGGUAAGGCAAUGGUCAAUGUUUGGAAAUUUGAGGAAUCGUACCCUACUAUGCUGGGUUUCGAUUUUUCGUUGGACCAAAUAGAUAGGCAUCUUUUUGAAAUUCUCGAAUUAUAAGCUUUCGGACAUCGAAACAAGAAGAUUUUGGCAACCAACUCGGGUUACUCAAACGUUAUAAAAAAGAACCACAUUUCAAAAACUUUUUAAUUUUAGACAUAAGGACAGUAUUUAAUCGAUUCGGUACCAAUUUUGGGCGUAGUGAGGGUGCUAAUCCUUCCUCAUGCGUAACCGACUCCCGAACCCGUUUUCUCAAAAGUUCGUAGACCAAAAUUGUUGUUUUAUUAAACUAACCUCAUUUUUAGGUGAUCCGAUCACACACAACUUCACACGUCUUAUUUUCAAAAGUCGAUUCCCCCCGUAUUUUCAUUAAAUUUAAAAAUUUUAAAAAUUUUAAAAAGGGUGGUUUCGACAGCUUGGCGACUCCACUGGGGACUGGUUGUGAGUCGAGCCAUAAAAAUCGAUUAUCUGCUAUCCUUUUGUCAAAAAUCAAAAUUUGUUUUAAAAAUCAUGUAUCUUUCGAUUGCAUUUGAUUGUAUGUUUGUGCGGGUCUUGUAGAAUAGCACUGCAUUUCAUUGCAUGACCACUGUGGUCACGCCUCCUAAGUGGGAGUAAGAAACUACGCUUUCGUGAGGUUUUCACCUCCGCAUGGGCUAGUGGAUUGCUUCCGGGGUACAUCCGUACCUAUGAUUUCGUGAGAUUUUCAUCUCCGCAUGGUCAUAGGGAAAUGUAUCCCCUCGAACUGAACUCGAUCUAUAUGAGCCUAUAAUGGGUGAGGAUUGAGGAACCUGCUGGUUCGGGUACCUUAUCCCUAGAACUAAACCACAUAUAGUGAACCUUAGGAGCUAUCCUUCGGUGGAGCCGCGUCGAGCCUUAGUACUUACCCGUAUAUGCACUAUAAUUAUUGUUUAUGUGCUUGCAUUUUAUCGCUAUUAUUUGAUACUAACCGGUGUUUUGUUUUGAUUGUCUUUUUUGCAUGACAUUACAUAUUAAAGGAGGCGUUACUCCGCAUUCAAUUACUAAGUUAGAAAAUUUGAAAUGGAGAAUGAAUUUCUUAGUAAAGUCGAGGAUAAUGCGGCCGUUCGUGCAUGGUCGGAGAGGCUACAACUAGAGAGAGGGAAUAGCUUUGCAGAAGAGCAUGUAUCAGAGCUGCAGGAUUUCACUCGUGUUAAUGUAGUACAAAAUGAGCUGCAAGAGUUGAGAGACAUUUGGGCUAGUUGGGAUGAAGGGAUCAAGCAGUUGUUUUACCAAAACUACGGCGACAUAUCCUACCUGCUAGACAUUAGAGUGGAUAAGCAUUUGUUCCGGGCCUUGGUGCAGUUUUGGAAUUCUGCGUACAAGUGCUUCACUUUUGGAGAAGUGGAUUUGGUACCUACCAUGGAGGAAUACACUACGCUACUUAGGUGUCCAAAGAUUCAGGUCCGGAAGACUUAUGCUCGGGUUUUUAGUAAUCAGGCUUUCGUGAAGAAGCUGAUGGGCAUUUCUGGGAUGAGCGAGCCUUGGGUCACUGCUCGGAUUUAGCAAAAAGGAGAUAGCAAAUGUAUCCCUUGGGAGAAUUUGCGAGAUUUGGUCUUGACGCAUCCAGACGAAAGAAAGAGGGUCGAUAUAUUUUCCUUAAGCAUCUACGGAUUAGUGAUCUUUCCUAAGGCUUUGAGGCACGUGGACGAGGCGGUCAUCGACUUGUUCGAUCGCCUUGAAAAGGGAAUCACACCAGUACCGGCAAUAUUGGCAGAAACGUUCAGGUCUUUGAGCUCAUGUCGGAAGACAGGCGAGGGGUGGUUUAUUGGAUGUGCUCAACUAUUGAUGGUAUGGUUUCAUGGGCACUUUUGGAAGGUAGACAAGGUUUCCUAUCGAGUCUUUUCCGAAGGUUAUUCCCCUUUGAAAGAAGAGGCAGCUAUACAGAGGAGAGAAGAUAUCUCAGAGGAGAAGUGGAUGGAUAUUCUUUAACACCUUAGGGAUGGGGAUAUCGAGUGGAGAGCUUAUUGGAUGGUCCUUGACGAGAUCAUGUAUCGAUGUGGUAACUUCAAUUGGGUGCCACUGUUAGGAAUCUGGGGAGCUACCGGGUAUACUUCGUUGAUAGCCUUGAGGUAAUACAAGUCUAGGCAGUUUGUGCCCAUGACCUACGGACUUGUUCAGAGUGAAUUCUCAUUUAAAGGUGCUCACUAUAAGAAGAGAGUUCGGGAGUUAUCGGAUGCUUGGAAGCAAACUUGUUGGAUGAAGAGGUUAGCCGUCAGUUCCAUAGUAAUGCCCGAGUAUAACGAAUGGUUUAAGAAAAGGAUUAAUGAUAAUAUUCCUAGGCCAAGCUUGGAGAAUGCUAGACCUAUCGGGGAACAAUUGCAAGUCGCCCCAUCAGAAUUGGAAAUUAUAAGGCAAGAUUUCGAGAAGAAAAGUUUGGAGUUUGGGAAGAAGAUCGAACAAUUGGAGGAAGAGAAGAUGCACCUAAGAUUAGACGCUGAUGUUCAGAGGUUAGAGGCUGAGAAGUGGAGAAAAGGAAAAACUAAGGCCGAAGAAGAUCUAGACAACUUGAAGACGGACUACAAGAAGCUAUGCCUAUCCAUGAGGACUGCGGGUUUAGGUAAGACUUCCGAACAAUGGCGCCAUGAAAUUCGGGAAGAAAAGGCCAAUACCGAACGAUGGGAAAGGAAAUUCUGAGAAACUCAGGCACGAAACGAAGAUUUGGAGAGGAGUUUAUCGGAAAGCAGAAAUGAGCGAGGGGAAUUAAGGGCUAGAGUGGCAGAACUCGAGAAGUCUCUGCAACACUUCGAGAUGCGGAUCCAGUUUUUUGAAGCAAACGAGGAUCGUUGGAAAGAGCAGCUUCACCAUGCACAAGACCAAGUCAGAAAUAGAGAUUACCUCAUGGGGUAAGCCAUAACCCAGAUUCGGGAGGUAGUAGAUUAUUUGCAAACUUUAGCGGUUCAGGCGCACACACUGAGCGUGAAGUAUGAGUUGGAGUCAGAGCGCGGACAAGAGCUGUCCUCGUUGUUUAGAAAAAUUAGGACUCUAAGUGUUAGAGCAAAAUUUUAUUUGUAACUCGACUUUUUGUAAAAGAUUUUAUUUUCAAGUGAAAUUUUCUAAGGGCAGUUGAAUCAAAAUUGAUGCCUCCUUUACAUUCAUGCAUUUGCAUUACAUCACAUCAUUAUGCAUUAAAGGCCAUAAGAGUUUUCUAAUUAAUUAAUUAAAAAUUAUUUCAGUAACCUGGAAACCAACGAAAACCAACCAACCACGCACCCCUACGGUACAAGAAAAAAAUCAAUAGAUAAGAGACUCGAGAAAUUGGAGCAAAUGCAAAAGGACAUGCAAGAUCAAAUGCAGUCUCAGAUGCAAGAGCAGCUAGCCAAGAUUCAACGAGAAAUGAAGGAGCAAAUGAUGAAGUCUCAGAGAGAAAUGAUGUCUUAGUUAUCCAAAUUGCUGCUGAUAGGAACGGAUAAGGGAAAGGGCCCCAUGGACAAAGUUGAAGAAGCUAAUGAGGAUCCUCAAUACCCCCUGGCUUCACUCCGACACAUGUACCAAUGAAGCCCGAGAUUAAUCUACCGAAACCAUCUGUCAUGAUCAUGCCCCAGCAGAUUCAGGCCGAAGCUUCAAUACCGAUGAAUUUCCAAACCAGCUCAGGCUCUAACUUUGUCAACAACCCGAACUAUCCGCUCGUUCCCGACUUGGAUGAAAUUGCUGAAGAAGAAAAGGAGAGGAUGGAAUCGCAAAAACAAUUGGAAGAACGGUGUAGAUGGCUUGAGAAGAAAUUCAAACCCAUGGAGAGCGCGGAUCAUCAUCAAGGGAUUGAUGCCAAGGACUUGAGUUUGGUCCCAGAUUUAGUCCUCCCCCCCAAAUUCAAAAUACCCGAAUUCGAGAAAUACAAUGGAACGAGCUGCCCUGAAGCCCACAUCACUAUGUUCUACAGACGAAUGACGGGAUAUGUUAAUAACGACCAGCUAUUAAUCCAUUGCUUUCAAGAUAGUCUGGUCGCGGCGGCGUCUAAGUGGUAUAACCAAUUAAGCCGAGCUAAAAUCAACUCAUGGAAGGACCUGGCUCAGGCCUUUAUGAAGUAAUACAGUCAUGUGAUGGACAUGACCCCCGACAGAAUCACUCCCCAGAAUAUGGAGAAAAAGCCAAAUGAAAGCUUCAGACAGUACGCACAAAGGUGGAGAGAAGUGGCCAUACAAGUUCAGCCGCCACUUCUAGAAAAAGAGACGACAAUGCUCUUUAUUAACACCUUGAAAGCCCCUUUUAUCACUCAUAUGUUGGGAAGCGCCACCAAGAGCUUCUCCGACAUAGUGAUAACAGGGGAAAUGAUCGAAAAUGCCAUGAGAAGCGGUAAGAUAGAAACCGGAGAAAGUCCAGGAAGUCAGCCCCGAGGAAAAGAGACAAUGAAGUGAACAACACGAGCACAUCCAACAAAGGUCAGUCCAAGUCAUUCACCGUAAAUCAACCCAAGACGGUGACCACCAAUCAGCAAAGCUCUGUAAGACAAGAAUCCAAUGCAAGGGAGAACAUAGAAAGGCCACAAUUCACCCUUAUACCCAUGAGGUAUAGGGAGUUGUACAAGAACCUGUUCAACGCUCAUGUGGUGUCCCCUUUCUACCUGAAGCCACUACAGCCCCCGUAUCCUAAAUGGUAUGACACAAAAGCCCAAUGUGAAUACCACGCGAGAAUCACCGGGCGCUCUAUCGAAAACUGCGUUGCGUUUAAAAAAUUCGUCGAAAGACUCAUUAAGAUGGGGAUUGUGAGAUUUGACGACCUAGCCACACCCAAUGUAGCAGGAAACCCACUCCCCAAUCAUACUGACCAAGGAGUGAAUGGGAUAAGUGAAGGCUUGAACAAGAAGACCAAGUAUGAAGUGGCAGAAGUCAGAACCCCGUUGAGGUGGGUAUGGAAGGAGAUGGCCAAGAGAGGAUUGAUCGCGUUGGAUUUGAGGGAAGAAUCCGAUAAGAGAGAAACUACUGUGAGUUUCACGACGAGGUGGGGCAUGAAAUCCAAGAUUGCGUGGAGUUCAGGGCCCUAGUACAAAACAUGAUGAACAAUAAGGAAAUGGAAUUCUAUGAAGAGAUCGAAGACCCUGUAGAGGGAGAUAUAUGAGCAUCGGAGGGAGAAUCGAAGGCGCAGAAUCAAACGACUAACUACCCUAUGGUUAUCAUAUCGAGACCUAAAAAUAAUGAAGCUGGAGUACAAAUGCCACCGAGGGUCAUAAUCCAAAGACCUGCAGUCUUCCCUUACAAGGAGAGCAAAAAGGUCCCAUGGAAUUAUGAUUGCAGUGUGAUGAUGCUGGGGAAGGAAAGCCUCGUGGAUGCUUCAAAAGAGGGUCAAGACAAGGGCUCUUGUACACGUAGCGGGAGAGAUUCAAAUGCAGCAAAUAAGGAGGUACAACCCGUAAAAGGAAAAGCCCUAAUGGCCGAGGAAAUGAAAGAAAAAGCAACCAAACCUGUUAACGAGCCAGUUAACGAAGAGGAGGCCAAGGAGUUUUUAAAAUUCCUAAAGCAUAGCGAAUACAGUGUGGUGGAACAGCUACAUAAACAACCAGUCCGCAUUUCAGUGCUGGCCUUGCUUCUAAGCUCGGAAGUUCAUCGUAGCGUGCUAAUGAAGGUCUUAAACGAGACAUAUGUUGCCAACGAUAUCUCCGUUAACAAGCUAGACCAUUUGGUGAGCAACAUAAGUGCCGACAAUUAUAUCUUCUUUAGUGACGACGAGAUACCACCUGGGGGCAUGGGGUCGACUAAAGCUCUGCAUAUCACCACACACUGUAAAGGGUAUACGCUGCCUGGCGUACUGAUCGACAAUGGAUCAGCCUUGAACGUCCUGCCAUUGACUACGCUGAACAGAUUACCUAUAGACAGCUCUCACAUGAAGGAGUGCCAGAACAUCGUGAAGGCAUUCGAUGGCACGGAGAGAAAGGUGAUGGGCAGAAUCGAGGUACCUCUUCAGAUUGGGCCAAACACAUAUGAGGUGGAUUUUCUCGUGAUGGAUAUCAAACCCUCAUAUAAUUGCUUAUUGGGGAGGCCCUAGAUACAUUCAGCUGGGGCAGUGCCUUCCUCGUUGCAUCAAAAAUUGAAGCCGGUAUCGGAAGGGAGGUUGAUAACGAUCAAGGCCGAAGAAGAUAUUAUUGCAACUGUGAGCAAUAAUGCACCCUAUUUGGAGUCGGAUGACGAAGCAAUCGAAUGCUCAUUUCGAUCUUUGGAAUUUGUUAAUGUGGCGUUCAUCACUGAGGGAAGCAAAAUUCUAGUGCCGAAAUUGUCCAAAACCACGAGGAUGAGCCUCCAGUUGACAAUUGGAAAAGGAGCCCUACCCGGAAAGGGACUUGGGAAACAUCUAUAAGGAAGGACUGAAACUCCAAUGCUGAAAGACAAGAGAGACCGCUUCGAUUUAGGAUUUAAGCCGGAUGCGAAACAAAGGAGGAGGGAGCUGGAAAAGAAGCAAGAAAGAAGGAGAGCUCGAUUAACGGGGGAGGAAAUCAAGUGGGAACCAAUGAUAUUCCCCCAUAUAUCAAAAACAUUUGUGUCUGGGGGAAUCAUUCAUCCCGAGAGAGACACGCCAAUGACGGGAGCUAUAGAAGAAAGGCUGGAAAGCUUGGACAUCAACGUCAUGUACGAAGAGGAGACUGGAAGAGAAAGUUUAUCAGACAUUGGCCCCUACGCACCUGGAAGUGUUCUGGACAACUGGACUGCGGAAGAGAUCCCUUUAGUUUUUAGAACGAAUUCAGAGUAAUGUCCAAAACACACUUAUUACUCUAGGCCUAGGAGUGAUAAGGUUCUUUUUUGAAAUAGGCUGAUGUUUAAAAAUGUUGUUUCAAUAAAAUGCACGGUUAUUAUCAUUUUUGAGCAAAUGUUCUCUCGUCCUCUCUAUUUCAUUCAUAACCAUACAAAUGAUUACUUUUGGAUUCUUUCAUCCUUGAAACAUUCUUCUAAAUAUUCUUUCAUUCGUCAUUCAUAAUCAUACCACGCAAAUAAAUGUUUCGAAUUCUUUUGAUUCUUUGUAUGUGCCUUCAUCCUCAUAACAGGUCCCCAGAUAUUAAUGAUACGAGUGACACUGUUAGCGACUCAGAAUUUCCUUUCGAGCAAGAUGUGUAUAUGGAUGAUUCUCAGGAUUUUGAAGAUGACCAUGGCUAUAACCUAUCUCCUGAUUUAUUGAGGAGGGUAGAACAAGACGAGAAACAAAUCCUACCUCACAAAGAAUCAGUUGAAAUUGUGAGCUUAGGAGAAGGACAAGAGGUGAAGAUCGGAACAUGUAUCACUAUGAAAAUGAAGCGAGACCUCAUUGAACUACUUCAAGAAUUCAAAGAUGUCUUCGCAUGGUCAUACCAAGAUAUGCCCGGGUUGGACACUGAUAUCGUGGUGCAUCGACUUCCCAUAAAAGAAGAGUGUAAGCCAGUUCAGCAAAAAACUCCGAAGAAACAUAACCCAGAUGAAUGGGAUGAAGAAUGCCAAAGGGCUUUCGACAAGGUCAAAUAGUACUUAUCCAACGCCUCGGUGCUGAUGCCACCUAACCCCGAUAAGCCGUUGAUACUGUACUUGGCAGUAUUCGAGAAUUCUAUGGGAUGCGUAUUAGGUCAGCAUGAUGAGUCAGGAAGGAAAGAGAAGGCCAUUUACUAUCAUAGUAAAAAGUUCACAGAAUGUGAGACAAGGUACCCGCCGAUAGAGAAGUUGUGUUGUGCCCUAAUUUGGACAAUGCGAAGGCUGAGGCAGUAUAUGUUGUAUCACACCACUUGGCUCAUACCAAAAUUGGACCCUUUAAAGUACAUGAUGGAGUCAACUGCUUUGAAUGGAAGGAUGGCCCGAUGGCAGAUUCUACUUUCUGAAUUCGACAUAGUCUAUGUGAACCAGAAAGUAGUAAAAGGAAGUGCAAUAGCAGAUUUUUUGGCCAGUAGAGCUUUGGAAGACUACGAGCCUUUGAACUUCGACUUCCCGAAUGAAGACCUAAUGUGUGUUGCUACCACUAAAGAGGGGGCUCUGGCAGAACUUCCUUGGAAACUAAACUUCGAUGGGGCGUCAAACGCUAUGGGUAAUGGAAUCGGGGCCGUCUUGGUAUCCCCAAAUGGAGAUCAUUAUCCAUUCACUAGUAAAUUGGAUUUUGAUUGUAUGAAUAACAUGGCAGAAUACGAAGCGUGCAUCAUGGGUAUCCGCGCAGCCAUAGAUCACAAUAUUAAAGUGCUAGAGGUGUUCGAGGAUUCUGCGCUAGUGAUUUUUCAACUCAAGGGAGAAUGGGAGACUAGAAACCCCAAGUUAAUCGAUUAUCGGAAGCUGGUCCUUGAAUUGAUUAAAGAGUUUGAUGACAUUACCUUCCACUACCUUCCACGAAACGAAAAUCAGAUGGCUGAUGCUUUGGCUACCUUAGCCUCCAUGAUCAAGGUGAACAAACAAGAAGAUGUCAAACCCAUCCAGAUGAGCAUUUAUGAAGUUCUGGCCCACUGUUACAAUAUUGAAGAAGACGAAGAGAAAGAUGAUCACCCUUGGUAUCAUGAUAUAUUUCAAUACGUGAAGAAUCGUAAGUACCCGGACCAGGCAAGCGAGAAUGACAAAAGAACACUAAAAAGAUUGGCCAUCGACUAUGUCCUAGAUGGGGAUAUCCUGUACAAAAGAAGAAAGGAUCAAGUGCUACUAAGAUGUGUAGACGCUGUAGAAGCUAAGAAAAUCUUGGAAGAAGUCCACGAAGGUGUCUGUGGGACACACGCUAAUGCCUUUACAAUGGCUAGGCAAAUUAUGAGAUUCGGGUACUAUUGGUCCACCAUAGAAGGAGACUGUGUCAAUUACGCUAAGAGAUGCCAUAAGUGCCAAAUCUACGGAGACAAAAUUCAUGUACCUCCUUCAUCGCUGCAUGUCAUGGUUUCUCCAUGGCCAUUCUCUAUGUGGGGCAUGGAUGUGAUUGGACCAAUAUCGCCGAAAGCUUCCAAUGGGCAUCGGUUCCUCUUUGUGGUUAUUGACUACUUUACCAAAUGGGUAGAGGCCGCUUCGUAUGCUAGUGUUACAAAGUCAGCGAUCAGCAGGUUAUUGAAAAAAUAGAUCAUAUGUCGAUACGGAAUGCCAGAGAGGAUCAUAUCUGACAAUGCAUUAAACUUGAACAAUAGUACGAUAGCGGAGGUCUGCAGUCAAUUUAAGAUCAGACAUCGCAACUCGUCACCAUAUCGCCCGAAGAUGAAUGGGGCAGUGGAAGCAGCCAAUAAAAAAUUAAGAAGAUUGUGGGGAAGAUGACCGAGACCUAUAAAGAUUGGCAUGAAAAAUUACCGUUUGCCCUCUUUGCUUAUCGAGCGUCAAUCAGAACCUCAACCCGGGCAACCCCUUUCUCUUUGGUCUACGGAAUGGAAGCAGUGCUGCCGAUCGAAGCUGAGAUUCUAUCCCUCCGAGUGUUGUCGGAACUAAAAUUGGACGAAGUAGAGUGGGUCCAGUCUCGAUAUGACCAAUUGAACUUGAUCGAGGAAAAGAGGCUAAAAGCUAUUCCUCAUGGUCAGAUGUACCAAAAACGAAUGAUGCGGGCUUAUGACAAAAAGGUUCGCCCUAGAGAAUUCCACGAGGGAGACCUGGUUUUGAAAAAGAUCCUUCCCAUACAGAAGGAUUUUUGAGGGAAAUGGAUGCCUAAUUGGGAAGGGCCUUACGUGGUGAAGAAAGCUUUCUCUGGAGGAGCAUUGAUCCUAGCCGAGAUGGACGGUAGAAAUUUGCCCAAUCUUGUAAACUCGGAUUCGGUCAAGAAGUAUUUUACCUGAAAAAAGAGGGGCCAGAGUGAAAACCCGCAAAGGGCGCUCUGAGAUUAUCAAAAAAAAAUGGAGAGGCCAAGGUGAAAACCCGCAAAGGGCACUUUGGAACCAAAGGGGCUUUUGAGUUGAAAACCCGAACACGGGUAGCUCAAAUUUUGAAUAUGGUGCAUAUGGUAGUCUUGUCCUUCCAAAAUCAAUAAGACAGAAGAACAGUACACAUUGAAGCAUCAACAAGAUACGCAGGAUCUCCUGAAUACACAUUUGGUUCAAAGGAGCCUUUGAGAAAUUAGAAUAGUGAAACUCGUGCUACGAUAUCUGGGGCACCUUUUUCUCAUUUUUUGCACCUUAUCAGAUUCGUAUUCUUAUGUAUUCACAUCAAAUUUUGCUUAAUAAAACUCCACUGGUCCAUUAUGAUAAUCUCUUUCGAGCAUUUUUGUUGAAAUCAUGAUUUUUGAACAUGUAAUAUUCACACAAAAGAUGUUAUGCAUAUUACUCUGGAAAGUCUCUAAAUGGUACAAGGACCUGAAAUAGGGCCACUAGUUAGGACUAACCAGGUUCAAAGUUGGAAAACAAUGAGAAAAGAGUAGUCCAAAUUAUGACUAUUUCUUCAAAUUUUCUGUCAGAGAUAACAGCUAAGCAAGAAGACAUGAUAGCUUAUCAGUGAUAGAGCCCGGACGAAUUAUGAGCAAUGACACCUUAAGCGUUUAAAAAGGAAUCACUCUCAUGACAUUUCUACAUCCAUAAUCAUUCAUUUAAUUAGGAGCACUUGAGUCAUUUCGAUCAUAACUUUCUGAUUAUUUGACAUAAACACCACAUCUAGUUAGGGACAUUUGAUUCAUCUCGAUCAUAGCAUCCUAGUUAUUUGACAUACACAGAUACAGGAAACCUAUUCUACACAUCAUGUCUUUAGAAGACAGUGUAGCGAAAUUGGCAAAUCCUGCAGAUUUGGCAUCUCUAUAUUGGCGGAGAGCAGAUCGAAGAUAGCAGAUUUGGUGUCUCUGUAUUGGCGGAGAGUAGAUCGAAGGUAGCAGAUUUGGCGUCUCUGUAUUGUCAGAGGGCAGAUCGAAGAUAGCAGAUUUGGCGUCUCUGUAUUGUCAGAGGACAGAUCGAAGGUAGAAGAUUUGGCGUCUCUGUAUUGUCAAAGGGCAGAUCGAAGAUAACAGAUUUGGCAUCUCUGUAUCGGCAGAGAGCAGAUCAAAGAUAGCAGAUUUGGCAUCUCUGUAUUGGCGGAAAGCAGAUCGAAGAUAGCAGAUUUGGUGUCUCUGUAUUGUCAGAGAGCAGAUCGAAGAUAGCAGAUUUGGUGUCUCUGUAUUGGCGGAGAGCAGAUCGAAGAUAGCAGAUUUGGCAUCUCUGUAUUAUCAGAGAGCGGAUCGAACAUAGCAGAUUUGGCAUCUCAGUGUUGGCAGAGAGCAGAUCGGAAAUAACAGAUGGGUGCUCCUGAGUUCUCAAGAAACGAGUUGAGGAUAGCCAAUUUGACACUCCUGAAGACAUCAGAAUACCUUUGCGGAAGAAGAGGAUCAAGAUUUUGAGACUUAGCCAGACCGUUCAAAUUUGGUCCUUUUUAUAGUCUUUGCUCUAUUUUUGUUACACGACAAUAAGCAAAGAGGGGCAGCUGUAAAUGGGCAAAUUUGCCCGGGCCCACUAGAAACCCAAAUAUACAACAAUAAAUAAAUAUAUAUAUAUUAAAAACCCAACAGAUAUUAUAAACAGUCCUUUUUUACAGCCCAGUACCCAAAACUAAAUACAAUGGGCCCGAUGCCCCAAGUACCAUAUACAAACCCAAAACAUAACCCAAGACCCAAUUAAAAUCUAAUAGCUAAAACCUAACCCAAUACCCCAGAGGCCCAAACGAUAGCCCAACUACAAGAACAGGUCCAAUAAACCCAUAUCCUUAACAGGUUUCAGAAACCCUAAGUCAUCCCCUUCCUUGCAUCACAGCAACCCCUGGCCUUCGUACCCCCUUGCGCCAUACGCUCAGUACCCUCCAGCAGCCACGCCCACGCCUCCGUACGGCUCCCUGCACACCUCCGUACGGCCUUCACAUACCAC
rnacentral:lncRNA from 1 species